rnacentral:rRNA from 1 species
CGUAGGGCGCGAGCGUUAAUCGGAAUUACUGGGCGUAAAGCGUGCGCAGGCGGUUUGUUAAGAUAGGCGUGAAAUCCCCGGGCUCAACCUGGGAACUGCGCUUAUGACUGGCAAGCUAGAGUACGGCAGAGGGGGUGGAAUUCCACGUGUAGCAGUGAAAUGCGUAGAGAUGUGGAGGAACACCAAUGGCGAAGGCAGCCCCCUGGGUCGAUACUGACGCUCAUACACGAAAGCGUGGGUAGCAAACAGGAUUAGAUACCCUGGUAGUCCACGCCCUAAACGAUGUCAACUAGGUGUUGGAUGGGUAAAACCAUUUAGUACCGGAGCUAACGCGUGAAGUUGACCGCCUGGGGAGUACGGCCGCAAGGUUA